GACGAACGCUGGCGGCAUGCCUAACACAUGCAAGUCGAACGGAGAUUACUUCGGUAAUCUUAGUGGCGAACGGGUGAGUAACGCGUAGGCAACCUGCCCUCUAGAUGGGGACAACAUCCCGAAAGGGGUGCUAAUACCGAAUGUGACAGCUAUCUCGCAUGAGAAAGCUGUGAAAGAUGGCCUCUAUUCAUAAGCUGUCGCUAGAGGAUGGGCCUGCGUCUGAUUAGCUAGUUGGUGGGGUAACGGCUCACCAAGGCGAUGAUCAGUAGCCGGUCUGAGAGGAUGAACGGCCACAUUGGGACUGAGACACGGCCCAGACUCCUACGGGAGGCAGCAGUGGGGAAUCUUCCGCAAUGGGCGAAAGCCUGACGGAGCAAUGCCGCGUGAGUGAUGAAGGAAUUCGUUCCGUAAAGCUCUUUUGUUAUGACGAACGUGCGAGUUGUGAAUAAUGACUUGUAAUGACGGUAGUAAACGAAUAAGCCACGGCUAACUACGUGCCAGCCGCCGCCGUAA
rnacentral:rRNA from 1 species